UUUACAACACAUAACCGUUACAGAGAACUAUCUCUGUGUUACUAUAUACAAUCUCAAGGUAUAUAGGUAAUGACUGAAGCUGCUGAAGGGAGUGCGGGAUGGCUUCAGCAGUUUUAAAGAUAUCCAUCAAGUGAUUAAUAAAAAUAAAUCUUUGAAGAGUAAAACUGUUACAAGUAAAGAAAAUGUGAUCCAAGGUAGGUAAUGUAAUAAAAUAGAGGAAGAAUAACCACUCUGCAAUUUUACAAGAAGAGGAUGAUUUUUAAUGGAUGAAAUUCUCAACAAAAACCUGUAUAUUAAAUAUUUAAAGCGAAUUUUCAAAGGAGGGAUGUUACAUUCAACCUGCAUUGAUAUUAUGGGUGUGGAACACAUCGCACCAAGCACAAUCCAGCUGAUGUCCAAGCCCAGAUCAUCAUAAUAGGCCUUAAGGCCGAGGAGAGCAACUCUGAGAUUUUCAAUAGCUGCAGACAACUUGUCUGCAGUACAAUAUAUAGUUAAGUCAUCUACAAACUGUAGAUUCGUGUGAAGAGGAAAACUUUCAAAUGUCUGUGACAAGUUACUAUGGGGAGAGAAUGAUGGAGAAAGAUUCAAUGUUGUCAGAGUUGGUAAAUGAUAACUACCUAACGAGUCUGAAGAAACUUGCCAUUCCCAAAAUAAUGCUAACGACGCCGAAACAAAAGUCAAAUCUAGUGCAUUUGGCUUCCAUCUAUGCGACCCUACAGUGGUUGGACGUCCAUCAUUCAAGAGAACCAAAUCAUUCUCAUCAGCGACAUCAACAAUAUCUCUCCCUCGCGCGUCAACUUUGCCGCAACCCCAUAAAGUAUGAUGCGCGUUAAAGUCUCCAGCCAAAAUUAUCGGUUUCGGAAUAGUCUGUAUUAAAUCAUUAAAUUUUUUCUUAUUAAAUUCAGGAGUACAGCUUCCUGGGCUGUAAAAACUUACAAUCGAAAUUUGUUUCUGAAAAAUUUGAAUCUGAACAACAAUAUUUUGUAAAGAAUCAUCAUAAAAUGUAUUAAUUCUGUUAUAGACUAUAGUGUUAUGAAUUAAUAUGGCUACUCCAUUGUGAUUAUUACCACAGUCAUUUCUCACAAUAGAAUAUCCUUUCAUGUUAAAUGUGAUAUGUGGUUUGAGCCACGUUUCACUAAUUAUACAAAUGUGGAUGGAAUUAUCUAAUAGAAAUUUUUGUAGUUCAUAUUUAUUACUUGGCAAGCUUUGACUGUUCCAUUGCAUAAUAUUUACUUGGGCAGAGAAUGUGAAAGAUUGUUAUUUUUUUCUUUUAUAGUUUCUUUUAUUGUUUCUGAAAGAAGCUGUGAGUUUAUGCUUGCAUUUUGAGUCUUGUUCAGAGUAAUAGCUUUAAUUAAACAUUCUGUGAGUAACGUAAGUGCGUUUUUAUUUGAGAGAAGUACAUUUAAUAAGUCUUUACUAUUUGUGUUUUCAUUCAAUGAAGGGAAAUUUUGUAAUUUAUUAUUAAAAAGGUCUGCAUAUGAUGUAGUUG